AGUGAACGCUGGCGGUAGGCCUAACACAUGCAAGUCGAACGGCAGCACAGUAAGAGCUUGCUCUUACGGGUGGAGAGUGGCGGACGGGUGCGGAAUACAUCGGAAUCUACUUUUUCGUGGGGGAUAACGUAGGGAAACUUACGCUAAUACCGCAUACGACCUACGGGUGAAAGCAGGGGAUCUUCGGACCUUGCGCGAUUGAAUGAGCCGAUGUCGGAUUAGCUAGUUGGCGGGGUAAAGGCCCACCAAGGCGACGAUCCGUAGCUGGUCUGAGAGGAUGAUCAGCCACACUGGAACUGAGACACGGUCCAGACUCCUACGGGAGGCAGCAGUGGGGAAUAUUGGACAAUGGGCGCAAGCCUGAUCCAGCCAUGCCGCGUGGGUGAAGAAGGCCUUCGGGUUGUAAAGCCCUUUUGUUGGGAAAGAAAAGCAGCAGGUUAAUACCCCGCUGUGCUGACGGUACCCAAAGAAUAAGCACCGGCUAACUUCGUG
rnacentral:rRNA from 1 species